AAAAUCAUAGACUAUGAGAAACUUUGCUGUUUGAAGUAAUUUCAGAGACAAUGUAACAGCUCCUCUUAAAGAAUCUGGGCCAUGUGUGUCACUUUGACACAGAGAAACUGCCUCGAUUUUCAGUGCAGGGGCAGAGAUUCAGAUAAGAGUUUUCCAGAUGCAGCAUUCCACAUUUAUCUUAACUUUGUAGUUUCUAAGGAAACAGGACCUGAGUCAGCUUUUCAACAAUGCUGGUAGUUAGACUGUAAUGUUCCUGUCCCUCUGAGCUUAAGGUCACAAGGGCAGGAGUGGGCACGGCGACUGUGCUAGACCCACUUCCCCAGCCUCAAGAGGCCCCAGGUUGUUUGAGUUAGAGGGGACUCUGGCAGUGACUCACCCUUACCCCACAUCCCAUAAAGAAGGAAACUGAAGGCCAAAGAGAGAGAGAGGAUUCAACUCAUUCAAGGUCGGGCUCUGUUCAUAAGGGUCUGAGUUGGGACUACAACCUACUUCUGAUCUAACAGGACACGGCCAAGACUGCACCAACCCUCUCCUUACUUAAAGAUCACUACUUCUGUUUUAAGUGUUUUUUUAUCUUCAUUUUUUCAGUUGUGGACUUCCGCAGCCCUGCUUUGAUCUUCUUACCUGCUGAGCAGAGUUUGCUGUGAUCAUCAAUCCAAAGAUAAUGAAACAGCUUUAAUUUUUCCAUCUGUAAAAUAGAUUAUGUGAUGACUACAUAAAAACAUAGAGCUUUCUAAUACAUUAUACAGUAGCUGCUCAUUUAUUUUUGUACAAGAAUCAGGAGAUACAAUUUAAUACAAGGAAGAUGAGGCCAAUGCUUUAAAGAAUUACCGAGCACUAUGGGGAUGUAGGGAGAAGGCAAUGGCAACCCACUCCAGUACUCUUGCCUGGAAAAUCCCAUGGACAGAGGAGCCUGGAAGGCUGCAGUCCAUGGGGUCGCUAUUAGUCGGACAUGACUGAGCGACUUCACUUUCACUUUUCACUUUCAUGCAUUGGAGAAGGAAAUGGCAACCCACUCCAGUGUUCUUGCCUGGAGAAUCUCAGGGGCAGGGGAGACUGGUGGGCUGCCGUCUAUGGGGUCACACAAAGUCAGAUACGACUGGAGCAAUUUAGCAGAAUGGGAAUGUAGAGGGAAAGGGUCAACUUUGACCAAAGAGGUGCAGGAUAGAAAUUGGAUUAGAUCCUGAGAGAAGAGAACUUUAACAAAACAUAUUAAGAAUAAGAAUAUCCCAGUUAGACAGAACAUCUUAGAUGUAAGCAGCUAGAAUGAUUAGCCUUUAAAAUGAGAGAGAGGGACUUCUCGGUGGUUAAAAGUCCACCUUCUGGUGCAAGGGACAGAUGCGGGUUUGAUCCCUGGUCAGUGAAGAUCCCGCAUUCCUUGGCGCAAACACUUGCACCACGACUACUGAGCCCGAGGGCUCGACACGACAGGACUGCCGAAGCCUGCGGGCUCUAGUCUGAAGUAGCCGCACAGCGCAACGGAGACCAAGAGCAGCCAAAAAUAAAACAGAAAAUAAAGGAAGAAAAAGUUUGAACAAAGGUGUGACGUCAUUGGAAACAAUCUCUGGAUGAAGCCUAAAAGAUGUCACUGUAUUUGGUCAUUAGAGCACAAAAUUCUUCUGCAACUUAGAAACAAAAGAGAAUCUGCAAGUUGAGAAAGUAGGUGAUAAAGGCCCUUUGUUGAUAUCUUGUAGAGAAUGGAAGAUAAAUGUUAAUAGAGAAAAGAAAUUUGUUUAGAGUAAAAAUUACAUUGUAUUUGAUAGGAAAAAACUGAAGAAGUUAAAGGGAAAGAGGUGAAGAAAGGCAUGAAGCUAAGAAAAGGAUACAGGCAAAGGAUAAAACACAGCUGUUGAGACCAGGCUUAGAAUUAUCAUUUUAACAAAUAAAAUCCUCUCCUUUGAA
ensembl:lncRNA